UUUGCCAAAGCAGGACUGAGGGUUGCAUUAUUCACCACAUCCCAGGGCUGGCUCUGGAAAUGGAGGGAUGCAACACUGCAAAAUCCAGAGCACAUGGGCAGGCACAGGGGCUGGAGUCUCUCCCUGAACCCCUUGGCAUCUCUUCCAGAAGGUCCACAGCUGGAAAGGGAAAUGCCAGCAUGCACCUCUGGAUUUUGGGACUGCCUCAAGAUGCUCCAGAGGCUCCAAAGAUGACUUGGACAGGGACACUCCAGGAGAAGCUUCAGAUGUCAUGGGAAGAGAAAAAUUUGAUUUUCCCUGUAGGAAGAGGGAGCCUGUCCCAGCCCUCCCCCUCAGGCCUCUGACUGCUGCAGUUUGCUUUGCUAAGCACAGGAACAAAAACUGCAACCAUGAAAUUAUUUUAACAAGACCAUGAAAAAGAGGGAAAAAAAAAAAAAAAGAAGAAAAAAGGAUGGUGACAACAACAACAAUUUGCCCAAGUGAUGCUUGGAAAAAAAAAAUAAA